rnacentral:tRNA from 1 species
GGAGGGGUUCCCGAGUGGCCAAAGGGGGCAGACUGUAAAUCUGUUAUCUUCGAUUUCGAUGGUUCGAAUCCAUCUCCCUCCACCA